AGAAGAGUCAGACCGACUAAAACCGUCACAUCCUGCGACAACGUCGAACGCCCCCACAUCGUGUGGG
rnacentral:sRNA from 1 species